UUCUGUCUCCAAGCGCAUGCAUCACACAGACCCACUUUUUCCACAUUUUCUUUCUGUUCGCCGUUCUCAUUUAGAUUCACCGGACCAGCAACAAUCAGCAUAAACAGUUUCCUUUUGCUUUUGCUUUUGUAUAAUGCCAAGCAAAAAUUGAAUGCCUGUACAGUCAGUGGACAACUUGCCACACCAGUGAAUCUUUUAUACUGUAUUCCAAGUGGCUUUUUAUAUUCCAACUUUGAUGAGCAAGUGUCGUCAGGACCUAUGAUUGGCUCUUGAAUCCACAAUGAAUCUCGCUGUCAGAGGUUAAAACCCUGUCACAAGUCACCAUGCGGUAUUCUGUUACAGUCAAGGAUGGAGAGAGGAAGGCAGCACCACUCCACCAUCCAAGGAGCUUUCCCUCAUGUCAUGGGGUGCUCAGAAUUGAACCUGAGGAACAAUCACUUGCUACUCACCGAUGCAGUGUCGGCAAUAACUUUACUGACCAUAAUCACUAUGAAUAAUGGUCGACUGUUAGUUCAUCAACUUCUCAAGAGUGGCAGUACUGAAACCUUUCCAGAGUCCCAGAGCCCAGGGAGGUUCAUUGGCCAUAGAAAACCUCAGUAGUCUGUCUGGUGGGAGUCGAGAUCCUUCUCACUGACUGGGAGAACUUGGUCUGCCAUUUUGUUGGCCUUGCCCAAGGAAAGCCAUUUAUGAAAGCAGUUUCUCUCAGGAAACAGAAUUUAGGCAACACUGAUGGAGCUUUCUGAGAACACUCCAAGACAGCAGAUGGCCCUGUGGUCUGCUUGUAAACCCCUACAAGUGACAUUUCAAGGGACCACACCUUGUUGCUUUUGACUGAAUAUUCAUAUCAACUUUUUGAAGACACAGUGGUAGAACUAACUAGCCCUUACCUAUAAGU